UGGUUAUGUAUGAUUGAUGUUUAUAUAGAAAUACUUAAUGUAUGUUAAAUGUAUGCUUUUGUGUUGUGAUUGAUUGGUAAUACCUCGUAGCCCUAUUCCGGCAACGGAUACGAGUUAGGGGAUGUUACAUGGCUGGCCAUGUGACUCAAGUCAGAGAGUUACACGGUGUGGACACAGACUGGGACACGACCGUGUGUUUCACAAUGAAUGCCCACACGGCCUAGGACACGGGUGUGUCACUUAGCCGUGUGAGCCACAUGGUCUACCCACACGGGC
rnacentral:lncRNA from 1 species